GAAUAAAAUCAAAUCAAAUCAAAUCAAAUAAAAUAAAAUAAAAUAAAAUCAAAAUAAAAUAAAACAUAAAAAAUUCAGAAACUGGGUUGCCUCCCAGCAAGCGCUCUUUUAAUGUCACUAGCUUGACCCAGCAGAGCUCAAACACCCAUCAGUAGGUGUUAAUAUUCUCCUUGCUUGAUAUUCUUUCCUUUUUCUUCUUCCUGCUGAAUUUCUUCAGAAAAUUCAGAACACCAAGCACAUGUUUCCAUAUAUCAAUCACAGGAACUUUAAUCUCCAAUUUCUUGAAGAUUUCAAUAAAGCACUUAAGCUUAUUUUCUUUCCUAUGAUAUUUCUUUUGAUGAGGAAGGGGUUUUUCAUAUGAUCUUUUCUUCUUUCCUCUCUUCCUCUUUUUCUUAUUCUUCUCCUCCCUCAACUUUUUCUUUUUAUUUUCUUUUAAUUUCUUCUUUUUAUUUUCGCACUUUUUUUCUUUUUUUCUUUUCUCUCAACCGCUUCUUUUUCUUUCUCCUCAUCUUUCUCUCCCUCACUCAACUUUUCUGUUUCUUCUUCCUCUACAUCUCUCUCUAUAUUUUCCUCCUCAACAACCUUAUCACUUUCAGAGAUAGUGGCUUGACAUUGCUUUGUACGGUUAACUUCAAUGUUAGCCCCAAAUUGAUUUUUUUGUCUCCAAAUUCCUAAAAGUAACUUCAUAGCUCUUGGAAUUGUACUUCUUCAAAAAUUUGUCGAAUCUCCAAAUUCCGUCAAGUUAGCUCCUGGAAUCUCCAAAUUUCGUCAAGUUAGCUACCUGAUGACAUAGUUGUUGCUCGUCCUCCCAUGUUUCUGUUGGUAAAGAGAGUUGUUG
rnacentral:lncRNA from 1 species